AAAGCGUGCGCAGGCGGUUCGGAAAGAGAGGUGUGAAAUCCCAGGGCUCAACCUUGGAACUGCACUUUUAACUACCGAGCUAGAGUAUGUCAGAGGGGGGUGGAAUUCCGCGUGUAGCAGUGAAAUGCGUAGAUAUGCGGAGGAACACCGAUGGCGAAGGCAAUCCCCUGGGCCUGUACUGACGCUCAUGCACGAAAGCGUGGGGAGCAAACAGGAUUAGAUACCCCAGU
rnacentral:rRNA from 1 species